AUUGAACGCUGGCGGCAGGCCUAACACAUGCAAGUCGAGCGGAUGAAGGGAGCCUGCUCCUGGAUUCAGCGGCGGACGGGUGAGUAAUGCCUAGGAAUCUGCCUGGUAGUGGGGGAUAACGUCCGGAAACGGGCGCUAAUACCGCAUACGUCCUGAGGGAGAAAGUGGGGGAUCUUCGGACCUCACGCUAUCAGAUGAGCCUAGGUCGGAUUAGCUAGUUGGUGGGGUAAAGGCCUACCAAGGCGACGAUCCGUAACUGGUCUGAGAGGAUGAUCAGUCACACUGGAACUGAGACACGGUCCAGACUCCUACGGGAGGCAGCAGUGCGGAAUAUUGGACAAUGGGCGAAAGCCUGAUCCAGCCAUGCCGCGUGUGUGAAGAAGGUCUUCGGAUUGUAAAGCACUUUAAGUUGGGAGGAAGGGCAGUAAGUUAAUACCUUGCUGUUUUGACGUUACCAACAGAAUAAGCACCGGCUAACUUCGUG
rnacentral:rRNA from 1 species